CACAACGCAGAGUACUAACCACUAUACGAUCACGGCGCGCCACCUGCGAGGCGGCGCGCUAGUGCUGGAUUUAAUGGGUUUUAAAACAGAAAUGCAGACCAUGUGCUGCUGUUUCAUCUGUUUCGGGUGAUCCACAUAGGGAUCCACAAAAUCCCAAACAAAUAAUUUCACUCCUCAUCCUCGAAGCCCCGACACCUGAAGCUGCUUCUAAACCUAGACCCUAAACCUCGCGGGGCCGGCGCCAGCACCAUCCCUUUCUCCUGGCGGCGGCGCGUCCGGCUCCUGACGACGUCUGAGAGCGGCGGCUGCACCCCAAGGACCGCGUUUCCAGUCGCCCCUCCUCCUAUCACUUCUCUUUUCCCCUCCGAAAAAUCAGGCUCCCGGCCCAGGGGUUCCAGUGGCAGCCCUGGAGGAUUUUCCUGUUUACAUCUCCAGCUUGUACCCUGGAAUUGAGGUUUCUGACCCCAGAAUGGUGGAACCGGAAGAGAAGCUGAGCCGGGGAGCUGCGGAAGGGGGUGAAGGGCCCCCUCCUUUAUUUUUUCUUGCUUCCGUCACCGCUCCAAGUAACUUCGCGCGCUCUCUCUCGGGAACUGCGGGCGUUUGGGCUACCCUCUUUAUUUUGACUCCUCAAUAAAUCAGAGCUGCCUCCGAGAAUUCAGAAAAAUAAAUCCGACCAGCCUUUACUUCAGAAACUUCCCUAAAGACCCCAAAAGGACUAUUAUCGUAAACUGGUGCGAAGCCAGCGGCCAAACGCAGCGAACACGCUUCGCUUGGGGGUGUGCAGCUAUAAAAGACCUGGAUGUUUGCUCUCGGGAGAGACUACCCAAGGGCUCGGAGUCUUCGGACACAAGGGUGGCCUAAGUCGGGUUUUUGUUGUUUGUUUUUUUUAACCUCUGCUUUGCGGGUCUACUCAAAGUUUUGGAGAAAAGCGAAAAAGAAAAGAAAUAAAACAGGGAAAGUACUGCGUUGGCCGGGAAUCGAACCCGGGUCAACUGCUUGGAAGGCAGCUAUGCUCACCACUAUACCACCAACGCACACCAGUAAUCUGUUUUAAGAUUCUUGACUACUGGGUCUUCCCCACGUCGAAACUGCUUCCUCGUAUUUCUUUUUUGGAGUGGAAAAUCUGUGAGAGAACUCCCAAGCGUGGCUCCCAGAACUGAGCGACAAUAGUGUACACACGAUCACAGUCCCCAAGACCAGAGACCAAUGUCAGAAGAAACACGCGAGAGUGCUUGCAGUGAUUUCCUGAAUUAUGAUCAGCAGAAAAGUAAAGGUCUCCAGAUGAGGCUGUGCCAAAUUGACCAGGAACUCUUCUUAAGAAAUAUGAAGUUCGUCGCAUGCGUAACACUAGGAGAUCCUGGUCUUAUAGCAGCUUUUUGGUUUUUUGGUUUUUUCAUCUCAUGUGAAUUUCGACCAAACUCUUGCCUAAAACGAAUAUUACAAACAAGAGAAAGUCACUCAGCCUAUGGGUGCUUGGUGGUCAGGAAUAUCUGAGCGUAUCUCGCCGGUGGGAGACUAAGAGAAGGGCAGGGUUUUGGAGCUCUAAAAUUUUUAAAUAUGAAGAAGAGAGAUAGUGACGAGGAAAAAAAAGAAAAUUAGGGUACAUGCCUUGACUGAAGGAACUUUUAAAACCAUACCCAUCAAUGUAUGCAAACUAACUUUAUAUGAGAGAGAAAAGAAAGCAAAUGUGGCAAAAUGUUAACAAUGAAUCUUGCAAAGAGUAAUUGUGUCCAUUAUUUCACUCUUUCAACUCUUCCAUAGGUUUGAAAUUUUUAAAAAUAAAAAGUUGAGAAAAACAAAACUGAAACAAUAAAAAGC
ensembl:lncRNA